rnacentral:rRNA from 1 species
AGUGAACGCUGGCGGUAGGCCUAACACAUGCAAGUCGAACGGCAGCACAGUAAGAGCUUGCUCUUACGGGUGGCGAGUGGCGGACGGGUGAGGAAUACAUCGGAAUCUACUUUUUCGUGGGGGAUAACGUAGGGAAACUUACGCUAAUACAGCAUACGACCUACGGGUGAAAGCAGGGGAUCUUCGGACCUUGCGCGAUUGAAUGAGCCGAUGUCGGAUUAGCUAGUUGGCGGGGUAAAGGCCCACCAAGGCGACGAUGCGUAGCUGGUCUGAGAGGAUGAUCAGCCACACUGGAACUGAGACACGGUCCAGACUCCUACGGGAGGCAGCAGUGGGGAAUAUUGGACAAUGGGCGCAAGCCUGAUCCAGCCAUACCGCGUGGGUGAAGAAGGCCUUCGGGUUGUAAAGCCCUUUUGUUGGGAAAGAAAAGCAGCAGGUUAAUACCCCGCUGUUCUGACGGUACCCAAAGAAUAAGCACCGGCUAACUUCGUG